rnacentral:rRNA from 1 species
UGAUAACUAUUCUGAUCGCAUGACCUUGUGUCGGCGACGUAUCUUUCAAGUGUCUGCCCUAUCAACUUAAGUUGGUGAGUUAGUUGCUCACCAUGGUUAUAACGGGUAACGGAGAAUCAGUGUUCGAUACCGGAGAGGGAGCCUUAGAAACGGCUACCACAUCUAAGGAAGGCAGCAGGCGCGCAAAUUACCCACUCUCAGAACGAGGAGGUAGUGAAUUUAAAUAGCGAUGAUGAACUCUUAUGAGGCUCGUCAAUCGAAAUGAGUACAAUUUAAAUCCUUUAACGAGUACCAAUUGGAGGGCAAGUCUGGUGCCAGCAGCCGCGGUAAUUCCAGCUCCAAUAGCGAAUAUUAAAUUUGUUGCAGUUAAAAAGCUCGUAGUUGGAUCCAAGGUUAGGCAUGCCUGUCUGUUCUUAGUAGCAUGACUGUGUGUGUCUGCCUUUAUUAGUUGAAUGUUCAUUAUGGUGGUCUUCAUCGACUGCUAUGUUGUGCUCAACACGUUUACCUUGAAAAAAUCAGAGCGAUCAAGGCAGGCCUUCGUGCUUGUAUGUUGUUGCAAGGAAUAAUAGAAUAGGACUUCGGUUCUAUUUUGUUGGUUUUGAGAAUUGAAGUAAUGAACAAUAGAGACAGUCGGGGGCAUUUGUAUGGUGGCGUUAGAGGUGAAAUUCUGAGAUCGUCGCCAGACAAACUACUGCGAAAGCAUUUGCCAAGGAUGUCUUCAUUAAUCAAGAACGAAAGUCAGAGGUUCGAAGACGAUCAGAUACCGUCCUAGUUCUGACCAUAAACGAUGCCGACCUACAAUCGGGGGUGGUUUAUUAUAUUGACCCUCCCGGCUGUCCUCAGGAAACUUUAAGUUGGUUCUGGGGGGAAUAUGGUCUCAAGACUGAAACUUAAAGGAAUUGACGGAAGGGCACCACCAGGAGUGGAGCCUGCGGCUUAAUUUGCCUCAACACGGGGAAUCUCACCCGGUCCGGACACUGGUAGGAUGGACAGAUUGAUGGCUCUCUCUUGAUUCAGUGGGUGGUGGUGCAUGGCCGUUCUUAGUUGGUGGAGUGAUUUGUCUGGUUAAUUCCGAUAACGAACGAGACUCUGUCCUGCUAAAUAGUCCAGUGGCAUCAAUCACUAUGUGAUUACAGCUGCUGUUACUUCUUAGAGGGAUUCGCGGAUUUAAACCGCAAGAAAUAGAGCAAUAACAGGUCUGUGAUGCCCUUAGAUGUCCGGGGCCGCACGCGCGCUACAUUGACAG